rnacentral:snRNA from 1 species
AGCUUUGCAGAGUGGCAAUAUUGUAGCCAAUGAGUUUUAUCCGAGGCGCAAUUAUUGCUAAUUGAAAAAAAAAAUUCAUCAAAC